UACAUGUGGGGCAAGCGUUGUUCGGAAUUACUGGGCAUAAAGGGUGCGUAGGUGGUUUGUUAAGUCAGGGGUGAAAUCCCGCGGCCCAACCGUGGAACUGCCUUUGAUACUGGCGAACUUGAGUGCGUGAGGGGUAGGGGGAGCGAGCAGUGUAGCGGUGAAAUGCGUAGAUAUUGCUCGGAAGGCCAGAGCCGAAGGGGCCCUACUGGUGCGCAACUGACACUGAGGCACGAAAGCGUGGGGAGCAAACAGG
rnacentral:rRNA from 1 species